rnacentral:rRNA from 1 species
AUUGAACGCUGGAGGCAGGCCUAACACAUGCAAGUCGAGCGGAUCGGCGGACGAGGCAAUAAUGACUAGGAAUCUGCCUGUUAGUGGGGGAUAACGUCCGGAACAGGGCGAUCAUACCGCAUACUAUCAGAUGAGCCUAGGUCGGAUUAGAUAGUUGGUGGGGUAAAGGCCUACCAAGGCGACGAUACGUAACUGGUCUGAGAGGAUGAUCAGUCACACUGGGAAUUAGACACGGCCCAGACUCCUACGGUAGGCAGCAGUAGGGAAGAUUGGACAAUGGGCGAAAGCCUGAGCCAGCCAUGCCGGGUGUGUGAAGAAGGUUUUCGGAGUGUAAAGCACUUUAAUUUGGGAAGCGUUACCUACAGAAUAAGCACCGGCUAACUUCGUGCCAGCAGCCGCGGUAAUUC